rnacentral:rRNA from 1 species
UGCUGGCGGUAGGCUACACAUGCUAAUCGAGGGGUAACAGGAGAUAGCUUGCUAUCUUGCUGACGACCGGCGAACGGGUGAGUAACGCGUAGGAAUCUGCCUCAAAGCAGGGGAUAGCCCGGGGAAACUCGGAUUAAUACCGUAUAUAUUCUAAGGAAUAAAGAUGCCUUUUGGUGUCGCUUUGAGAUGAGCCUGCGUCCGAUUAGCUUGUUGGUAAGGUAAAAGCUUACCAAGGCGACGAUCGGUAGCUGGUCUGAGAGGACGUACAGCCACACUGGGACUGAGACACGGCCCAGACUCCUACGGGAGGCAGCAGUGGGGAAUAUUGCGCAAUGGGGG